rnacentral:rRNA from 1 species
AGAGUUUGAUCCUGGCUCAGAACGAACGCUGGCGGCGUGGCUAAGGCACGCAAGUCGAACGGACCAUUUAUAUGGGUAACCAAAUGGAUGGUUAGUGGCGAACGGGUGAGUAAUGCAUAGGUAACGUGCCCCCGAACUCUGGGAUAGCCGGGGGAAACCCCGGGUAAUACCGGAUAAUGUCCUGUUGUCGCAUGGCAGUAGGACCGAAGGCUUCGGCUGGUUUAGGAGCGGCCUAUGUCGUAUCAGCUUGUUGGUGAGGUAAUGGCUCACCAAGGCAUCGACGCGUAGCGGGACUGAGAGGUUGUUCCGCCACAUCGGGACUGAGACACUGCCCGGACCCCCACGGGGGGCUGCAGCAACGAAUCUUGCGCAAUGGACGAAAGUCUGACGCAGCGACGCCGCGUGUAGGACGAAGCCCCUCGGGGUGUAAACUACUGUCAGGGUGAAGAAAGAUCUGAUCGAACCCAGAGGAAGGACCGGCUAACUUCGUGCCAGCAGCCGCGGUAAUACGAAGGGUCCUGGCGUUGUUCGGAAUUACUGGGCUUAAAGAGCACGUAGGCGGGAAAGUAAGUGUCUUGUGAAAGUCCUCGGCUUAACCGAGGAACUGCAGGGCAUACUGCUUUCCUUGAGACAGGUAGGGGCGCGUGGAACUCUAGGUGGAGCGGUGAAAUGCGUAGAUACCUAGAGGAACGCCUGUGGUGAAAACGGCGCGCUGGGCCUGGUCUGACGCUGAGGUGCGAAAGCGUGGGUAGCGAACAGGAUUAGAUACCCUGGUAGUCCACGCCGUAAACGAUGUCUACUAGGUCGCGGGAGUUCUGACGCUGUCGCGGCCGAAGCAAAAGUAUUAAGUAGACCGCCUGGGGAGUACGGUCGCAAGGCUAAAACUCAAAGGAAUUGACGGGGGCUCACACAAGCGGUGGAGCAUGUGGCUUAAUUCGAAUCAACGCGAAGAACCUUAUCCUGGGUUUGACAUGCUUGGAUGCCCAUCCUGAAAGGGAGUAGGCUGCCUUCGGGUGAAACUUGCACAGGUGCUGCAUGGCUGUCGUCAGCUCGUGUCGUGAGAUGUUGGGUUAAGUCCCUUAACGAGCGAAACCCUUGUCGUUAGUUGCCAGCGGGUAAUGCCGGGGACUCUAGCGAGACUGCCGGUGUCAAACCGGAGGAAGGUGGGGAUGACGUCAAGUCCUCAUGGCCUUUAUGCCCAGGGCUGCACACGUGCUACAAUGGCGACCACAAACCGACGCAAAACCGUGAGGUGGAGCAAAUCGGAAAAAGGUCGCCCCAGUUCGGAUUGCAGGCUGCAACUCGCCUGCAUGAAGUCGGAAUCGCUAGUAAUCGCAGAUCAGCAUGCUGCGGUGAAUAUGUUCCUGAGCCUUGUACACACCGCCCGUCAAGUCACGGAAGUUGGGUGGACCUGAAGUCGGGUAGCUAACUCCUCGGAGAGGCGCCUGCCGAUGGUGUGCUCGAUGACUGGGGCUAAGUCGAAACAAGGUA